UUAAGCGACUAAGCGUACACGGUGGAUGCCCUGGCAGUCAGAGGCGAUGAAGGACGUGCUAAUCUGCGAUAAGCGUCGGUAAGGUGAUAUGAACCGUUAUAACCGGCGAUUUCCGAAUGGGGAAACCCAGUGUGAUUCGUCACACUAUCAUUAACUGAAUCCAUAGGUUAAUGAGGCGAACCGGGGGAACUGAAACAUCUAAGUACCCGAGGAAAAGAAAUCAACCGAGAUUCCCCAGUAGCGGCGAGCGAACGGGGAGCAGCCCAGAGCCUGAAUCAGUGUGUGUGUUAGUGGAAGCGUCUGGAAAGGCGUGCGAUACAGGGUGACAGCCCCGUACACAAAAAUGCACAUAUUGUGAGCUCGAUGAGUAGGGCGGGACACGUGGUAUCCUGUCUGAAUAUGGGGGACCAUCCUCCAAGGCUAAAUACUCCUGACUGACCGAUAGUGAACCAGUACCGUGAGGGAAAGGCGAAAAGAACCCCGGCGAGGGGAGUGAAAAAGAACCUGAAACCGUGUACGUACAAGCAGUGGGAGCACGCUUAGGCGUGUGACUGCGUACCUUUUGUAUAAUGGGUCAGCGACUUAUAUUCUGUAGCAAGGUUAACCGAAUAGGGGAGCCGAAGGGAAACCGAGUCUUAACUGGGCGUUAAGUUGCAGGGUAUAGACCCGAAACCCGGUGAUCUAGCCAUGGGCAGGUUGAAGGUUGGGUAACACUAACUGGAGGACCGAACCGACUAAUGUUGAAAAAUUAGCGGAUGACUUGUGGCUGGGGUGAAAGGCCAAUCAAACCGGGAGAUAGCUGGUUCUCCCCGAAAGCUAUUUAGGUAGCGCCUCGUGAAUUCAUCUCCGGGGGUAGAGCACUGUUUCGGCAAGGGGGUCAUCCCGACUUACCAACCCGAUGCAAACUGCGAAUACCGGAGAAUGUUAUCACGGGAGACACACGGCGGGUGCUAACGUCCGUCGUGAAGAGGGAAACAACCCAGACCGCCAGCUAAGGUCCCAAAGUCAUGGUUAAGUGGGAAACGAUGUGGGAAGGCCCAGACAGCCAGGAUGUUGGCUUAGAAGCAGCCAUCAUUUAAAGAAAGCGUAAUAGCUCACUGGUCGAGUCGGCCUGCGCGGAAGAUGUAACGGGCUAAACCAUGCACCGAAGCUGCGGCAGCGACACUAUGUGUUGUUGGGUAGGGGAGCGUUCUGUAAGCCUGUGAAGGUGUACUGUGAGGUAUGCUGGAGGUAUCAGAAGUGCGAAUGCUGACAUAAGUAACGAUAAAGCGGGUGAAAAGCCCGCUCGCCGGAAGACCAAGGGUUCCUGUCCAACGUUAAUCGGGGCAGGGUGAGUCGACUCCUAAGGCGAGGCCGAAAGGCGUAGUCGAUGGGAAACAGGUUAAUAUUCCUGUACUUGGUGUUACUGCGAAGGGGGACGGAGAAGGCUAUGUUGGCCGGGCGACGGUUGUCCCGGUUUAAGCGUGUAGGCUGGUUUUCCAGGCAAAUCCGGAAAACUAAGGCUGAGGCGUGAUGACGAGGCACUACGGUGCUGAAGCAACAAAUGCCCUGCUUCCAGGAAAAGCCUCUAAGCAUCAGGUAACAUCAAAUCGUACCCCAAACCGACACAGGUGGUCAGGUAGAGAAUACCAAGGCGCUUGAGAGAACUCGGGUGAAGGAACUAGGCAAAAUGGUGCCGUAACUUCGGGAGAAGGCACGCUGAUAUGUAGGUGAAGUCCCUCGCGGAUGGAGCUGAAAUCAGUCGAAGAUACCAGCUGGCUGCAACUGUUUAUUAAAAACACAGCACUGUGCAAACACGAAAGUGGACGUAUACGGUGUGACGCCUGCCCGGUGCCGGAAGGUUAAUUGAUGGGGUCAGCGCAAGCGAAGCUCUUGAUCGAAGCCCCGGUAAACGGCGGCCGUAACUAUAACGGUCCUAAGGUAGCGAAAUUCCUUGUCGGGUAAGUUCCGACCUGCACGAAUGGCGUAAUGAUGGCCAGGCUGUCUCCACCCGAGACUCAGUGAAAUUGAACUCGCUGUGAAGAUGCAGUGUACCCGCGGCAAGACGGAAAGACCCCGUGAACCUUUACUAUAGCUUGACACUGAACAUUGAGCCUUGAUGUGUAGGAUAGGUGGGAGGCUUUGAAGUGUGGACGCCAGUCUGCAUGGAGCCGACCUUGAAAUACCACCCUUUAAUGUUUGAUGUUCUAACGUUGACCCGUAAUCCGGGUUGCGGACAGUGUCUGGUGGGUAGUUUGACUGGGGCGGUCUCCUCCUAAAGAGUAACGGAGGAGCACGAAGGUUGGCUAAUCCUGGUCGGACAUCAGGAGGUUAGUGCAAUGGCAUAAGCCAGCUUGACUGCGAGCGUGACGGCGCGAGCAGGUGCGAAAGCAGGUCAUAGUGAUCCGGUGGUUCUGAAUGGAAGGGCCAUCGCUCAACGGAUAAAAGGUACUCCGGGGAUAACAGGCUGAUACCGCCCAAGAGUUCAUAUCGACGGCGGUGUUUGGCACCUCGAUGUCGGCUCAUCACAUCCUGGGGCUGAAGUAGGUCCCAAGGGUAUGGCUGUUCGCCAUUUAAAGUGGUACGCGAGCUGGGUUUAGAACGUCGUGAGACAGUUCGGUCCCUAUCUGCCGUGGGCGCUGGAGAACUGAGGGGGGCUGCUCCUAGUACGAGAGGACCGGAGUGGACGCAUCACUGGUGUUCGGGUUGUCAUGCCAAUGGCACUGCCCGGUAGCUAAAUGCGGAAGAGAUAAGUGCUGAAAGCAUCUAAGCACGAAACUUGCCCCGAGAUGAGUUCUCCCUGACUCCUUGAGAGUCCUGAAGGAACGUUGAAGACGACGACGUUGAUAGGCCGGGUGUGUAAGCGCAGCGAUGCGUUGAGCUAACCGGUACUAAUGAACCGUGAGGCUUAACCUU
rnacentral:rRNA from 1 species